CCAGACUCCUACGGGAGGCAGCAGUGAGGAAUAUUGGUCAAUGGGCGGAAGCCUGAACCAGCCAAGUCGCGUGAAGGAUGACGGCCCUACGGGUUGUAAACUUCUUUUGUCAGGGAGCAAUUGAGUCCACGUGUGGGCUUAGCGAGAGUACCUGAAGAAAAAGCAUCGGCUAACUCCGUGCCAGCAGCCGCGGUAAUACGGAGGAUGCGAGCGUUAUCCGGAUUUAUUGGGUUUAAAGGGUGCGUAGGCGGGCUUUUAAGUCAGCGGUAAAAAUUCGGGGCUCAACCCCGUCCGGCCGUUGAAACUGGGGGCCUUGAGUGGGCGAGAAGUAUGCGGAAUGCGUGGUGUAGCGGUGAAAUGCAUAGAUAUCACGCAGAACUCCGAUUGCGAAGGCAGCAUACCGGCGCCCUACUGACGCUGAGGCACGAAAGCGUGGGUAUCGAACAGGAUUAGAUACCCGCGUAA
rnacentral:rRNA from 1 species